rnacentral:lncRNA from 1 species
CGAAAAAUGAGAAAAAUCUAAUUGAAGCUCAAUUCCUGGAUCGGGUGGUAUUCCAAUAGGAUUGUGUUCUGGAAUCAAGUCUUCGACAACCUGCAAAAUAGAAUUAACCAAACUAGGGAGGGAAUUGUUAGUUUUCACCACGGCCUCCUCAACUUGAGGCUUCCUUUCAAUUAAACUCACUUCCAACUCCUCAUUCUCUUCCGAAGACUCUUCUUCAUUUUCUUUUUGUAGAUCCACUUUCCCUUUUGGAUUUUCACUCUCAACUUCUUUUUCAUUCUCUUGUGGUCUUUCUCCUUUUACCUCACAACUAACCACCUCAUAAUUUUCUUUAUUACCCUUUUGUUCCUCCAUGUGAGUUUUCUGAGAGUUAAUCAGGUUACGAAUCUCUGAGAGUUCACGCUUAUAAUCCAACAGAGUUCCCUGCUAGAUGUAUGAUCAACAUGCUUCACAAACGUUGUUUUCUCUCUCCUUGAAUUUCCAGCUCCACUAUAUCUUCUAGGCUUCUCUCUAAAUUUUUGCUCACGCCGAUCCCGCUUAUAAAAAUAAUUAGGUGCAUAUCGCUUUCUCAUUAUAGUCCUCAAUUCAUCCCAAGUUUCAAUACAUCUCUCUCCAUUCCUUCUCCUAGAUUUUGUCAACUGAUCCCACCAAGUAAUUGCAUUAUCCAAAAAGUGUUCACAACUAACUUUAAUUUUCUCUCCCCGAAGUAAUCAUGGCAAUCAACCACUAAUUCU